rnacentral:rRNA from 1 species
AUAAACUAUAAAUGUCAAUUUUAUUCCUUUUGCAUAAGGAUUAAUUAACAAUAAGAAAGUUUUCUACUAAAGAAAGCUCCCCAACUAAAAUAACAAAAUCUAUAUGUUAAAUGGAUCUCAAAUAUAAUUUUAAGUAAUAUGCAAUUACGGUAGCUGAUAACUUUUUAAUUUUAGUGUUAAGGACAAUCUUAUCCAAGUUUAUAAUAAUUAAUAAUUGAGUUUUAGGAUUAGAAGUAACCAAACCACUAAUUUGUAACAAAACACUACUAUGACACAUAACUACUAUUACUUCAGGUUUAAAUUUGAAUAAACAUAAACUCAAAAGAAAAAUAAUUAUGUGAGUAAGACUAAUUAAAUAAAAUUCUAAUUAAAAUUCGGCACAUAGUAUACUACUGUUUAAUAAAAACAUUGCAAUAUUGAUAUAUUGUAAAUUUCCUGCCCAAUGAUAAAUUAAAUGGCCGCAGUAAUCUGACUGUGCAAAGGUAGCGUAAUCAUUUGUUUAAUAAUUUUAAACUAGAAUGAAAGGAACAAAGUAUACUAACUGUUAAUUAAAAUUUAACAUAAAUCUUUGGCUGAGUGCAAAAACUUAGAAUAAAAAUAUAAACGAGAAGACCCUGGGAAUUUUAAUAUUUUUAUUGGGAUAAUAUAAAACCAUACUUAGCUAAGCAACAAAUAACAUUAAUAAAAAGAAAUUACCCCAGGGAUAACAGCACAAUAGUCAUUAAGAGACCUAAUCUCAGUGAUUGAUUAUGACCUCGAUGUUGAAUCAUUUGUACAUAUAGUUUGCAGAAGAAUUUUAUUCUCGUCUGUUCGACGAUAGACAUUACGUGAUUUGAGUUUAAACCGUUGUAAAACAGGUUGGAUUCUCUUUUAUUUUUUUAUAUUUGAUCUAAACUUAGUACGAAAGGAUCAGUAUAGACAAUUGUACCAAUUGAUGACAAAAUUACUUCGUGUGCUCGUCUACACUCUGACCAUUUCAAUGGUGUUUAUUUUAUUACGCGAACACUUG